rnacentral:rRNA from 1 species
GACGAACGUUGGCGGCGUGCUUAAUACAUGCAAGUCAACUGAAGCAGUGGUAGCAAUAUCGCUGUGGAGGUGGCGCACGGGUGAGUAACAUGUAGGUAAUCUGCCUUCAGGUCUGGCAUAACUCCGGGAAACCGGGGCUAAUAGCAGAUGAUGCAGCGGCUCGACAUCGAGACAGUUGUUAAAGCUAUGGCGCCUGAAGAUGAGCCUGCGUCUGAUUAGCUAGUUGGCGGGGUAACGGCCCACCAAGGCAACGAUCAGUAGCUGGUCUGAGAGGAUGAUCAGCCACACUGGAACUGAGACACGGUCCAGACUCCUACGGGAGGCAGCAGUAAGGAAUAUUGCUCAAUGGGAGAAAUCCUGAAGCAGCAACGCCGCGUGAGGGACGAAGGGCUUUUGCUUGUAAACCUCUGUAGUGAGAGAAAAAAAUCCCAAUCUUUGGGACAUGAUGGUAUCUCAAAAGUAAGCCCCGGCUAACUACGUG